CCCGGCUCUUGCUUUCCUCCCACCCGGAUCUAGGCGCGCAGGGGCCAAGCAGGGACGCAGCCCAGUGGCUCCAGCCACGCCGUCCUGCCCCCUUCUGCAGGUGAGAAGUGCGCCCUGUUCCAUCUGCCCCCUUUCCUUCCUGUCUCCUUUCAGCUGUAACCUAGGCCGGUGGCCACCUCCCCGUCAGGCAGAGAAACGUACACAAAGAAUUGGGGAUUUGGAUUUACACCGAUUGUGGCUUUCAGUCCCGGUUGUGUGACCUUGAGCAAAUUGCUCAACCCCUCGGCGUCAGUCUCCUCUGUAAAGUCACUUGGGAGGAUUAGAGAUAAAGUGUAGAAGGCUUAGCAUGGUGCCUGGUACUGCGUGAGUCCACAGCUAUUUUCACUCCGGACCAGCGGCGAUCGGGGCCCGGCCUCUCCCCGCCCCCAGACUCGCCCGACCUGCGCAGGGAGCCGCCCACCUCCAGCCGCCAGCGGGGAGGCGCCCCAGAGCUGCGGAGCUGCAGACCCGCCGACGGUCUCGCGCUCUGAUUUCCUCACCGUAUGAAAUGAAAUUCCACAGGGGGAUUCGAAAGGAAAUGAGACCGGGACUCUCCGUGCUUCUCGGCCCGCCGCCCUUCCUGUCUCGGGGACACGGUUUCUAAAUAAGAAACUGAUGCUCUGAGAGGCCAAGCAGUUUGCCCAAGAUUACACAGUCAUAGCCGUGCCUGGGAGAACCUUCUCUUCAACUCUGCCGCACCACUGUCAAGCUCACCUUUCUUCUAAGGUUUUAUUUUAGAGUUAACAUCCUCCAAAAAGCCUUCCUCAGGAGUUGAAGGUGCCCCUAAUAUCACAGCCAUGGCAUCCUGUACACUGGACCUUAUUGUCUGUCUGCCUGUUGUACCUUGUAUGAGUCUAUAAGCAAAACCUAUAAGAAGCCACAUCUGGCUAUUCUAUGUACUCAAAAAAUAAUUGGCAAGUGAAAGAAUGAGGAAAAGGAGAAAAAAUUCAGAAGGCCCCUACCCCUUCCAAUGGGUCAAGUCAGGAAUUUCCUACCUGCAUGUGAUUCCCUGUGUCCUAGAGGGUUUUAUUUACUCCUCAGACCUUGGAAACUGUUAACCAGAGUCUCUGUUUGGAGAUCUUAUCUGUGUGCUUCUCCAUGGGUGUUGUUUCCCUGUCUCUGCAGCCAUGCAUUCCUCAGCUCUUUAAGUGGUGGAGCCUGUCUGCCUGGAUAGAGUGCAAAAGCUACAGUGUAAUCUUGCUUUCUUUCAGGGCCACUGACCAGAGGAAAUAAAAACUGGACUGAUUGGGCUCUCCUGAUGUAGACCAGCCAGUGGCCCUCUAAGUUUCCUUCUAUGUUUAAAAUUCCUUAUCUGACAUUGCUAGCUGAUCAGCAGGCCCACAGGUCAGCUGAGGGCUUAUCUCCAGGGCUGGAGCUUCAAAGAGAUACAUGCACACGACUCCCCUGGGUCAGAUGGGCUGUGUCACAGUGAGUUGGGGAUAAUUUGGGAUCAGUCAACAUAACACACAUAACACAACCCAUUAAUUUUUUUUUUCAAAAAGCGAAGUUUAUUUUACUUUUUCCCAUUAUGAAAGUCAUCAAUGCUCAUUAUAGAAAAUUUGGCAAAUAACAAAAAGUGGAAAGAAAAAAAUUCCUUAAUAAUUUAGUAUAUUUGAUAUAUUCAUCCUUAAUCCUUAAUCUUUUACUAUGUUAUAUCUUUAAUAGUUGUGAUGAUAUACUUUUUGUAAUAAAUAUAUAUUUGUGUUGUGGCUUUUUUAAAAUUUAAAAACAUAACAAAUAUUUCCCCAAAUUUCUAUAUUGUU
rnacentral:lncRNA from 10 species